rnacentral:rRNA from 1 species
UUUUUAUAUACACACGGUUGUAUGUCUAUAGAAUGAGAUGUAGGCUUAUUUAAAGCCAUUAAAUGAUAAAGUACAACUUUCAACAACGGAUCUCUUGGCUCUCGCAUCGAUGAAGAACGCAGCGAAAUGCGAUAAGUAAUGUGAAUUGCAGAAUUCAGUGAAUCAUCGAAUCUUUGAACGCAUCUUGCGCUCCUUGGUAUUCCGAGGAGCAUGCCUGUUUGAGUGUCAUUAAAGUAUCUCAAAAGCUCUUAUGUGUUAUGCAUAUGGAACUUUUGGACAAUUGGGAGUUGCCGGUCACUGAUACAAGUGGUGGGCUCUUCUGAAAAGCAUUAGUUGAGGAGCUUUGCACUCUAUUGGUGUGAUAGACUAUCUAUGCCAGGAGAUGCAUUAUUGCCUCUGCUCUCUAACAGUCCUUAUUGGACAAGAUGACGAACUUGACCUCAAAUCAGGUAGGACUACCCGCUGAACUU